rnacentral:lncRNA from 1 species
UGGGAAGGGAGAGCCACAGGUAGGCCUGCCACGGCACUUAUGGGGGCUCCUUCUCCAGUGUGGAGCCAAGAGAACAGGAAUCUGCUCCCCUGGGCUCAGACAUCAGAGAGGCUGGAUCUCCGAGGCAUGGGGAAUUAGUACCUCCAGGGCAAGCCCUUCCUUCUAUGGAUGGGGAACGGGGAACUGACUCUGAGUUACCAUCCCCCAGACCAAAGCCCAUCCCACUAGCCUUCUGGUCUCUUCCCAACACCUGAGCUGGAAGGAGUUUUUGUCUUCUGAACCAGAUAUCCACUCUGAGUAGACGAGGCUUUUAUAGAAAGUGACAGAUCUAGGAGGCUGUGGGCACCUUUCUGGGACAGCUGUGUGUACUUUGCACUAGAGAUGGAGGAGAAUACAAACCCAA